GUGGGGAAUAUUGCACAAUGGGGGAAACCCUGAUGCAGCGACGCCGCGUGAUUGAAGAAGUAUUUCGGUAUGUAAAGAUCUAUCAGCAAGGAAGAAAAUGACGGUACUUGACUAAGAAGCCCCGGCUAACUACGUGCCAGCAGCCGCGGUAAUACGUAGGGGGCAAGCGUUAUCCGGAUUUACUGGGUGUAAAGGGAGCGUAGGCGGUCUGGCAAGCCAGAAGUGAAAGCCCGGGGCUUAACCCCGGGACUGCUUUUGGAACUGUUAGACUAGAGUGUCGGAGAGGUAAGUGGAAUUCCUAGUGUAGCGGUGAAAUGCGUAGAUAUUAGGAGGAACACCAGUGGCGAAGGCGGCUUACUGGACGAUAACUGACGCUGAGGCUCGAAAGCGUGGGGAGCAAACAGGA
rnacentral:rRNA from 1 species